GACGAGGGAUCCUAGCGUUGUUCGGAAUCAUUGGGCGUAAAGCGGAUGUAGGCGGCUAUGUAAGUCAGAUGUGAAAGCCUAGGGCUCAACCCUAGAAGUGCAUUUGAAACUGCGUAGCUUGAAUGUGGUAGAGGCUACUAGAAUUCCUGGUGUAGUGGUGAAAUACGUAGAUAUCAGGAGGAAUACCGGAGGCGAAGGCGGGUAGCUGGGCCAACAUUGACGCUGAAAUCCGAAAGUGUGGGGAUCAAACAGG
rnacentral:rRNA from 1 species